rnacentral:tRNA from 1 species
AGCAGCGUGGCUCAGUGGAAAGAGCAUGGGCUUUGGAGUCAGGGCUCAUGAGUUCAAAUCCCAGCUCUGCUA